UAGAAAUAUGUAAGAUCAAGACUGCGGCUUUAUCGUACGAGUCAUUGGUAGCAUUCCUUUCCUUUAUUGGAGUAGACGUUGGGACUAUCGGACAUGGAAGAAAGCAGUUUCCACAUAUAAUAAAGGCUGCAUAUAUCCACGUCAUUAAGCAAACGGCAUCGUAUCUACAAAAACCUUUGGUAAAUACUGACUUGCCCCCCCCCCCCUCCCCACUUUUCAGUUGCAAUAGACAAAUCUACUCCUCACAGAGACACGAUUCAGGUCAUAAUGAUUUUUUUACCGGUGAAUGGUAAACGCACUGCGAUACCAAUUGAUGCUCCACUAGUGUACGAGUACAGAGAUGCAGAUUCCGAUGACGAAGACACUAUUAGAGGAGGCUAUGGAGAAGAUCUUGCCGUACAAGUAAUUGAAAUUUUGAAACGAUCAUUGCAGCAAACUAGCUCGGAUUUAAGGUUGUUGCGAGGUGUUCAUGCUGAUGGACAGUACCAAGCGAGUACAUUUCAAACGAAACUAUACGAGCUUUUGGGAUGCAUCCAAAACCAGAUCCAUACUUUCUUCUUCCUUGGGAUGCAUUCCACUGGCUAGACCUAGUGAUCGUUGAGCUACGUGAAAACUCCUUGUAUUCCAAUUUUAUCAAGCUUAUCAUCAAACGCUCUAAUCGCUUGCACAUAAUAUUUGGAAGUGGCCGAGGACAUGCUGAGUACAAGACGUAUUCCAAAAGUCAAGGAUUAAAAGCGCUCGAAACUGUGACAUAUGCAACCACGCGAUUUUCCAGUUCUGCUUUCGAUCAAUGGAAGAAAAUUCACAAUAGUUAUCCCGCUUUGAUUACGGCAUACAGUGCAAAUCGAGAAGAUAAAAAGGAUGAUUGUGAGGAGACAAAAUACCAACUCAGAGGUCAAGAUUUUGCCAUAGAUCUAUGUUGAAUGAUUGAUGUGUUUCAGCCAGUUGUUUCGUUAAUGAUCAAAUGUCAGAGCUUCAACGUGCCUCCCUGGAAAGUUGUUGCUUGGUUUCCGAUAGUCAUUGAUAUCUUGGAGGAUAUCAGGACAGAAUUAAAGCGACUUAAGGACGGAGAUGUUGUAAAACCAGCUGAAAAGUUGUUGCCAAGAAUUGCAAAAUAUUGGCAAGAAUUAACAAAAGAAGAAGUUGAAGAAUGUUCGUUUCAAGGAAUACAAGUCUACGAAGGAUGGCUCGUAGUCAAUGACAGUGAGCAACUCGUCGAAGGACCGUCUACAGACAAGACUGGGAAACAACAUAAGAGAAAGACUAUUACUUGGGAGGCACGAUCACCAAAUGAUUGCCUAGAUGGUCUUUAUCAACUCAUAGAAGAUAAUCCAAUGUGUCUGGCAUCUCUCUACAAAAACAUUAAGAUCGACAACAUCACUAAGUUAGAAGCUGUGUUUGACAUUGAGGGACUAACAAAGCUUCUUUGUUAUUUUUCUCACUCGAAGGGGCGGAUCAAAAUCAGCAGGGCUGGAAGAAAUCUUUGGGAUCUUCGCGGGAAAAGAGAG